CACGUAGGGUGCGAGCGUUGUCCGGAAUUAUUGGGCGUAAAGAGCUCGUAGGCGGUGUGUCGCGUCGGCUGUGAAAACCCGGGGCUCAACCCCCGGGCCUGCAGUCGAUACGGGCAGACUAGAGUGUGGUAGGGGAGACUGGAAUUCCUGGUGUAGCGGUGAAAUGCGCAGAUAUCAGGAGGAACACCGGUGGCGAAGGCGGGUCUCUGGGCCAUAACUGACGGCUGAGGAGCGAAAGCGUGGGGAGCGAACAGG
rnacentral:rRNA from 1 species